GACGAACGCUGGCGGCGUGCUUAACACAUGCAAGUCGAACGGUGAAGCUCCAGCUUGCUGGGGUGGAGCAGUGGCGAACGGGUGUAUAACGCGUGAGCAACCUGCCCCUGACUCUGGAAUAAGCGCGGGAAACGGCGUCUUAUACUGGAUACGAGUAGUGCGGGCACGUGCACUUUCUAGAAAGUUAUGCGGUUGGGGAUGGGCUCGCGGCCUAUCAGCUUGCUGGUGAGGUAAUGGCUCACCAAGGCGACGACGGGUAGCCGGCCUGAGAGGGCGACCGGCCAAACUGGGACUGAGACACGGCCCAGAAUCCUACGGGAGGCAGGAGUGGGGAAUAAUGCACAAUGGGCGAAAGCCUGAUGCAGCGACGCCGCGUGAGGGAUAACGGCCUUCGGGUUGUAAACCGCUUUCUGCAGGGAAGAAGAGAAAGUGACGGUACCUGCAGAAGAAGCACCGGCUAACUACGUG
rnacentral:rRNA from 1 species